CUAGAAAUGGCUGCUUGCUCCCUCCCAGAGGAGGAGAAUUUAAAACCUUAUUGAGAUUACAAUGGGGACAGUUCACUUCAGUUCACUGAAGAGCAGUUUGAGGCGGCUAGAAACGGCUUCAGCCAGCUUGCUUGUGGGAACCUUCUGCGGUUAGGCUCUUCCUGUAACUUUCCAUCUGUAAACACUCAACAGAUCGUUAGUUUCUAUCAGAUCCUCUGUACCCUUUCUUUGCCUAGUUCCCUGGUCACAGUAUCUGUGCCUGUGUGCCUAUCUGGCAAAACUACGUCAGACUCCAGUUGUCAACAAAGAUCAAAAUGAAGUGAGACUAAUUAUUGCAUAGGGUGAGGUGAGUUUCAGUUGUGUGUGUUUAUAAAGAACGAUCACAGUUGCAAAGAAUCUCCUGCCAACGCUACCUUUCAAUGCAAAUGUCCCUGCAGAGGACGGAGGACUUCUGGCUGACUUUCUGCCUGCACACCUAAACUGCAGGGGGCUGUCACUCAGACACAAGGGGGCGAGUCUCGCGAACUGUCCAAUCAGAGGCGGCGCCGGGGCAGGUGGGUGGUGCGAAGCUCCCCUAACCCCCCGGCAGGUGCUGCUCCGGCCGCGCUGGGGACCGCGUCUCCCCGCCAUUGAGGGCUCUACGUGGCUCUGUCACCUGUUCUGUCCAGUUGUGACCUGUACCAACCUCAGGAGUUGUAGGAAGGACACAGGGGGACCCAGGAAACCUAGAAAUGGAUAAUUUUGAACUCUCCUGAACUUUGAUUGCUACGUGUGCAACACUUCCUUCCACCACCUUGGGAUCCUUCUUAGGAAGAAGUGGCAGGACUGUGGAAGAAGGACAUCGGCCACUGCAGACUGUGCCUGGUACUGAGUCUGAAGUUAGAAAGCUCCCUCUAGGGCUACAUCUGCCCUCGUGUCCUUCACAUAACUGGUGAGAAAGUGAUAGGGCUCCCAGCCUCCAUCUUUGAGUUGACACCAGGUUUCUCAGUUUGUAUCCUGGGAAUGCAGUGGUCUGAAACAUAAAGGUGCAUCUGACACAUCUCCACACAUAGGAUCUGCCUGGGUGCAUCCUCGUCUAACCCUUGGGCAUCAACAUCCUGUCUUCCUGGAACAGGUCUUGAGACCAUUUCCAGCUCUUGAGUUUCCCAUCUCAAGCCUACUCUGUGCCUCCUUGCUGGGAAACGUGUUUAAAUGCAACACCUGUCCACUCUGGAAAUGUUCUCUGCUGUGUUGAGAUCAAAAUCAAAGAGCUAGUUAUUUUACCAGUAAGAUGAAUUUAUUCAUGACCAUCAGAGGAAGUACAAUUCAGGACAUGAAAAUUGGUGACACAUAGGC
rnacentral:lncRNA from 1 species